rnacentral:rRNA from 1 species
CACAUGCAGUCGAACGGUAACAGGUCUUCGGAUGCUGACGAGUGGCGAACGGGUGAGUAAUACAUCGGAACGUGCCCGAUCGUGGGGGAUAACGAAGCGAAAGCUUUGCUAAUACCGCAUAAGAUCUACGGAUGAAAGCAGGGGACCGCAAGGCCUUGCGCGAACGGAGCGGCCGAUGGCAGAUUAGGUAGUUGGUGGGAUAAAAGCUUACCAAGCCGACGAUCUGUAGCUGGUCUGAGAGGACGACCAGCCACACUGGGACUGAGACACGGCCCAGACUCCUACGGGAGGCAGCAGUGGGGAAUUUUGGACAAUGGGCGAAAGCCUGAUCCAGCCAUGCCGCGUGCAGGAUGAAGGCCUUCGGGUUGUAAACUGCUUUUGUACGGAACGAAAAGACUCUGGUUAAUACCUGGGGUCCAUGACGGUACCGUAAGAAUAAGCACCGGCUAACUACGUGCCAGCAGCCGCGGUAAUACGUAGGGUGCAAGCGUUAAUCGGAAUUACUGGGCGUAAAGCGUGCGCAGGCGGUUAUAUAAGACAGAUGUGAAU